CGUGUAGGCGGCCAGGUAGGUCGGUUGUGAAAACUAGAGGCUCAACCUCUAGACGUCGACCGAAACCAUCUGGCUAGAGUCCGGAAGAGGAGAGUGGAAUUCCUGGUGUAGCGGUGAAAUGCGCAGAUAUCAGGAAGAACACCCGUGGCGAAGGCGGCUCUCUGGGACGGUACUGACGCUGAGACGCGAAAGCGUGGGGAGCGAACA
rnacentral:rRNA from 1 species